rnacentral:rRNA from 1 species
UGCCAGCCGCCGCGGUAACACGGGGGGCGCAAGCGUUGUUCGGAUUUACUGGGCGUAAAGAGUACGUAGGCGGCGGGGUAAGUCAGAUGUGAAAGCCCGGGGCUCAACCUCGGAACUGCAUCCGAUACUGCCUUGCUAGAGUAAUGGAGGGGCAUCUGGAAUUCACGGUGUAGCAGUGAAAUGCGUAGAUAUCGUGAGGAACACUAGUGGCGAAGGCGAGAUGCUGGACAUUUACUGACGCUGAGGUACGAAGGCUGGGGGAGCGAAAAGGAUUAGAUA